CAAGGUUUCCGUAGGUGAACCUGCGGAAGGAUCAUUAUUGAAAUAAAUCUGAUAAGUUGCUGCUGGUUCUCUAGGGAGCAAUGUGCACACUUGUCAUCUUUGUAUCUUCACCUGUGCACCUUUUGUAGACCUGAGUAUCUCUCUGAAUUGCUUAUAGCAUUCAGGAUUGAGAAUUGACUUCUUGUCUCUUCUUAUAUUUUCAGGUCUAUGUUUCUUCAUAUACCCCAAUGUAUGUUUAUAGAAUGUAAUUAAUGGGCCUUUGUGCCUAUAAACCUUUACAACUUUCAGCAACGGAUCUCUUGGCUCUCGCAUCGAUGAAGAACGCAGCGAAAUGCGAUAAGUAAUGUGAAUUGCAGAAUUCAGUGAAUCAUCGAAUCUUUGAACGCACCUUGCGCUCCUUGGUAUUCCGAGGAGCAUGCCUGUUUGAGUGUCAUUAAUAUUAUCAACCUUUUUGGUUGGAUGUGGGUUUGCUGGCCUCUUGAGGUCAGCUCCCCUUAAAUGCAUUAGCGGACAACAUUUUGCCAACUGUUCAUUGGUGUGAUAAUUAUCUACGCUAUUGACGGGGAAGCAAGGUUCAGCUUCUAACAGUCCAUUGACUUGGACAAGCCUCUUUUAUUAAUGUGACCUCAAAUCAGGUAGGACUACCCGCUGAACUUA
rnacentral:rRNA from 1 species